rnacentral:rRNA from 1 species
CUUGCUGGCAGUCCGUCUUAAGCAUGCAAGUCAAACGGAAUGUAGCAAUACAUUUAGUGGCGAACGGGUGAGUAACGCGUGGAUGAUCUACCUAUGAGAUGGGGAUAACUACUAGAAAUAGUAGCUAAUUCCGAAUAAGGUCAAUUAAUUUGUUAAUUGAUGAAAGGAAGCCUUUAAAGCUUCGCUUGUAGAUGAGUCUGCGUCUUAUUAGUUAGUUGGUGGGGUAAAUGCCUACCAAGACGAUGAUAAGUAACCGGCCUGAGAGGGUGAACGUCACA